rnacentral:rRNA from 1 species
UACGAAGGGGGCUAGCGUUGCUCGGAAUCACUGGGCGUAAAGGGUGCGUAGGCGGGUUUUUAAGUCAGGGGUGAAAUCCCGGAGCUCAACUCCAGAACUGCCUUUGAUACUGAAGAUCUUGAGUUCGGGAGAGGUGAGUGGAACUGCGAGUGUAGAGGUGAAAUUCGUAGAUAUUCGCAAGAACACCAGUGGCGAAGGCGGCUCACUGGCCCGAUACUGACGCUGAGGCACGAAAGCGUGGGGAGCAAACAGG